GGCUGGUCUGAGUGCAAUGGUGCUUACAACUAAUUGAUCACAACCGGUUACAGAUUUCUUUGUUCCUUCUCCAUUCCAACUGCUUCACUUGACUAGCCUUAA
ensembl:Y_RNA Y_RNA Y RNA